GGAGAGAUGGUCGAGAGGUCUAAGGCACUUGACUCGAAAUCAAGCGUGGGGCUUAGCUCCACCGUGGGUUCGAAUCCCACUCUCUCCG
rnacentral:tRNA from 1 species